CGGUGGAGCAUGUGGUUAAUUCGAAGCAACGCGAAGAACCUUACCAGGCCUUGACAUGCAGAGAACUUUCCAGAGAUGGAUUGGUGCCUUCGGGAACUCUGACACAGGUGCUGCAUGGCUGCCGUCAGCUCGUGUCGUGAGAUGUUGGGUUAAGUCCGUAACGAGCGCAACCCUUGUCCUUAGUUACCAGCACGUUAUGGUGGCACUCUAAGGAGACUGCCGGCGACAACCGGAGGAAGGUGGGGAUGACGUCAAGUCAUCAUGGCCCUUACGGCCUGGGCUACACACGUGCUACAAUGGUCGGUACAAAGGGUUGCCAAGCCGCGAGGUGGAGCUAAUCCCAUAAAACCGAUCGUAGUCCGGAUCGCAGUCUGCAACUCGACUGCGUGAAGUCGGAAUCGCUAGUAAUCGUGAAUCAGAAUGUCACGGUGAAUACGUUCCCGGGCCUU
rnacentral:rRNA from 1 species